rnacentral:rRNA from 1 species
GGAGGGUGCAAGCGUUAUCCGGAUUCACUGGGUUUAAAGGGAGCGUAGGUGGGUUGGUAAGUCAGUGGUGAAAUCCCCGAGCUUAACUUGGGAACUGCCAUUGAUACUAUCAGUCUUGAAUACUGUGGAGGUUAGCGGAAUAUGUCAUGUAGCGGUGAAAUGCUUAGAUAUGACAUAGAACACCAAUUGCGAAGGCAGCUGGCUACACAAUUAUUGACACUGAGGCUCGAAAGCGUGGGGAUCAAACAGGAUUAGAUACCCUGGUAGUCCACGCCCUAAACUAUGGAUACUCGACAUACGCGAUACACUGUGUGUGUCUGAGCGAAAGCAUUAAGUAUCCCACCUGGGAAGUACGAUCGCAAGAUUG